AACGAACGCUGGCGGCAUGCCUAACACAUGCAAGUCGAACGAGAUCUUCGGGUCUAGUGGCGCACGGGUGCGUAACGCGUGGGAAUCUGCCCUUUGGUUCGGAAUAACAGUUGGAAACGACUGCUAAUACCGGAUGAUGACGAAAGUCCAAAGAUUUAUCGCCAGAGGAUGAGCCCGCGUAGGAUUAGCUAGUUGGUGUGGUAAAGGCGCACCAAGGCGACGAUCCUUAGCUGGUCUGAGAGGAUGAUCAGCCACACUGGGACUGAGACACGGCCCAGACUCCUAGGGGAGGCAGCAGUGGGGAAUAUUGGAAAAUGGGCGAAAGCCUGUUCAAGCAAUGCCGCGUGAGUGAUGAAGGCCUUAGGUUUGUAAAGCUCUUUUACCCGGGAUAAUAAUGACAGUACCGGGAGAAUAAGCUCCGGCUAACUCCUUGCCAGCCGCCGCCGAAA
rnacentral:rRNA from 1 species